rnacentral:lncRNA from 1 species
CAGGGGUUCUACCCCCUGUCACUCCCACUAGUCCAGCUGAAGCUCUGGCUGAGGGAGUACUGACUCAGCUGACAGCUCAGCGUCCCUCUGUGCUGUCCUCACAGUCAGGAUCAGACAGUGCUCCACAGUGCCUCCUUCUGGAGAGGCGUGGUGAAGCUGAGGCUGAAACUCAGCACAUCCAGGAGCACACAGCGGACAUCAACUCCCCCCAGGACCAACUGCCCACCCAUCCAGGGACUCCCACAGACCCCUUGGCUGAGACGCUGGUCAAUGGAGACAGCCACACCAAAGCUCAGAGCCCCGUGCCCAGCCGGGUGUCCUCCCCCCGUUCUCCCCGCUCGCCACGCUCACCUCCGCCACGCUCGCCUUCCUCUCCACGCUCUCCUCGCACUCCUCGUUCCCCCCGCAGCCCUUUGUUCGCCAAUGGUGACCCCUCACCCCUGGUUGACAGCCAAAAGGAAUUAACUAAUUUUCCCAAGCUGAAAGACACUGAGAAGGAUUCGACCCCCUGUGCGACGGAGCUGCAGCUAAAGGAGGAGCCCAUUGGAGAAGUGAACCAUGUUCCAGAGCAGUCCACUGGUCCAGCCUCCUCUCCUCCUCCUGCCCCCCGUAAAGACCCCAGCCGCAGACAAAGUCGCAUACCUGUGCUUGAGCCUUCUAGCCUACUGGAGAUCCCUGCUCCGGGCUCCGCCAAGGAGAAGCUCCUGCAGAAGAAAGCCAGCCACCACGGCCCGGUCCCCUCUCCCACUGCGUCACCGUCCCUUUCUGACAGGCGUGGUCCCAUGGUGGCCUCUCUGGCUCGGGACCCGCUGUCCUCCACCUCUGACCGCUCUCAGGAAGAGGACUCCCUCAUGGGCUCCCGUUCUGACCGGCAGGGCGAUGACGCUCCAUCCCUCUCCUCCUCCUCUAGCCCACUGUCCCGCAAGAGCCGGAUCCCUCGUCCGGUCCAUCCCGCUUCCUCUGCUGAGCAGCUGGCUGCGCAAUUCCUGCCACACCCACCUCCUGGAAAGCCGCCUUGCCGC